CACAGCCAUGAGUCAGAAAUUCAAGCCACCGGGCGCUUUCCAGCGAACCGGGCCCGGGGAGGACCGUUCUCCGGUGUCCCGAGGACCCGGGGGUGCGGGGAGGCCAGCGACGGGAAUUCUGUGACCAAGGGGACGGGACCAGCCGGCGACAACUGCCUCCCGGGUCCUCGGACCUCGGCCUCCCGGGCCCGGCCGUCCCGUCCACUGCCGCCGCCAACGCCGCCGCCAUCUUACACUGGCCAGCGGCCGCCGCCACCGCCGCCUCCGCUCUCUGCGCCUGCGCCUGCGCUGCCACGCUUUCCGGCCCCGUUUGCGACGAUCUGCCGUGGAGAAGCCGGAGGGGAGAGUGGUCGCGCGAGCUCUCGGCUCCCCAACCUCCUCGAAGGACGCGUGAGGGGCGGGGCUUACGGCCAACGGAAAACACGACGGCGCGCGUGCGCAUUGCCGGGGAGGCAAAGUUGAUUUUUUUCCAGUUCUUGGAGGGUCGCGCAUACCUCUCGGGACACGCAAGGCAGAUCUGAGUUAGCGGCCUCCCUGAGUGGGGGUGGAAAUAAAAUGUAUUUCUAAUGGGCGA